rnacentral:lncRNA from 1 species
UCCCUUUUCAGAGAAGAUAGGGCGACUGGCCCAAGUGGCCCGCCCUAUCGCCAGAUUCUGAAACUUUGACGAUGCUUUUUUUAGUUGCACAGAUGCCUACAGCUGUUGCUGCUGCUGUUGCAUGGCCUGCACUGCUUUGGUGAGGCCCCUGAUCUGCUGAACCAGCAGGUCAAACUGCUCCAUGCCGACUGCCACUGUCAG